GACAGAGGGGGCAAGCGUUGCUCGGAAUUACUGGGCGUAAAGGGCGCGUAGGCGGGAUGGCAAGUCGGUCGUGAAAUCCCUCGGCUCAACCGAGGAACGUCGAUCGAUACUGCUGUUCUUGAGGAUUGCAGAGGAGACUGGAAUUCCCGGUGUAGCGGUGAAAUGUGUAGGGAUCGGGAGGAACACCGGUGGCGAAGGCGGGUCUCUGGGCAAUUCCUGACGCUGAGGCGCGAAAGCGUGGGGAGCAAACGGG
rnacentral:rRNA from 1 species